GAUGAACUCCAGCUUGCUGGGGGGAUUAGUGGCGAACGGGUGAGUAACACGUGAGUAACCUGCCCUGGACUCUGGGAUAACCCCGAGAAAUCGGAGCUAAUACCGGAUAGGACUCUGGAAGGCAUCUUCUGGGGUGGAAAGUUUUUUCGGUCUGGGAUGGACUCGCGGCCUAUCAGCUUGUUGGUGAGGUAAUGGCUCACCAAGGCGUCGACGGGUAGCCGGCCUGAGAGGGUGACCGGCCACACUGGGACUGAGACACGGCCCAGACUCCUACGGGAGGCAGCAGUGGGGAAUAUUGCACAAUGGGCGCAAGCCUGAUGCAGCAACGCCGCGUGCGGGAUGACGGCCUUCGGGUUGUAAACCGCUUUUAGUAAGGAAGAAGGGGAGCUUGCUCCUUGACGGUACUUGCAGAAAAAGGACCGGCUAACUACGUGCCAGCAGCCGCGGUAAUACGUAGGGUCCGAGCGUUGUCCGGAAUUAUUGGGCGUAAAGAGCUCGUAGGCGGUUUGUCGCGUCUGCUGUGAAAUCCCGAGGCUCAACCUCGGGCCUGCAGUGGGUACGGGCAGACUGGAGUGCGGUAGGGGAGAAUGGAAUUCCUGGUGUAGCGGUGGAAUGCGCAGAUAUCAGGAGGAACACCGAUGGCGAAGGCAGUUCUCUGGGCCGUAACUGACGCUGAG
rnacentral:rRNA from 1 species